UGACGAGCGGCGGACGGGUGAGUAAUGUCUGGGAAACUGCCUGAUGGAGGGGGAUAACUACUGGAAACGGUAGCUAAUACCGCAUAACGUCGCAAGACCAAAGAGGGGGACCUUCGGGCCUCUUGCCAUCAGAUGUGCCCAGAUGGGAUUAGCUAGUAGGUGGGGUAAUGGCUCACCUAGGCGACGAUCCCUAGCUGGUCUGAGAGG
rnacentral:rRNA from 1 species